rnacentral:rRNA from 1 species
AACUGUAAGACUGGAGUGUAGAAGGGGAGACUGGAAUUCCGCGUGUAGGGGUGAAAUCUGUAGGUAUGCGGAAGAAUACCUGUGGCGAAGGCGAGUCUCUGGUCUACAACUGACACUGAAAUGCGAAAGUGUGGGGAGCAAACAGGAUUAGAUACCCUGGUAGUCCACACUGUAAACGUUGUACACUAGGCGUUAGGGAUUUAAUCUUCUAGUGCCGAAGCUAACGCGUUAAGUGUACCGCCUGGGGAGUAUGCUCGCAAGGGUGAAACUCAAAGGAAUCGACGGGGGCCCGCACAAGCGGUGGAGCAUGUGGUUUAAUUCGAUGAUACGCGAAGAACCUUACCAGGGCUUGACAUCUAUCUGACAGGGGUAGAGGUAUCCCGUUCCUUUUAGGACAGAUAGACAGGUGCUGCAUGGCUGUCGUCAGCUCGUGUUGUGAGAUGUUGGGUUAAGUCCCGCAACGAGCGCAACCCUUACUGCUAGUUGCCAUCUGGUAAACAGGGCACUUUAGCGGAACUGCCGGUGACAAAUCGGAGGAAGGUGGGGAUGACGUCAAGUCCUCAUGGCCCUUAUGUCCUGGGCUACACACGUGCUACAAUGGGCUGUACAAAGGGUAGCAAUACCGCGAUGUGGAGCCAAUCCCAAAAAACAGUCCGUAGUUCAGAUUGGAGUCUG